rnacentral:lncRNA from 1 species
CCCAGAGCCACACAGAGAGCCACACAGAAUACUGCUGGCUCUAUUUGUCUUGGGGUUCCACAGUCAUCUUAACACUUGAGGGUUUAGAGAAAUGUCCUCUUUCUCUUUCCUUUUAAAGUCUUUUUCUUCUUCCAUCUUCAUCUGGGACACCUAGCACUAUUCCUACAAUGGUCUCAGAUCAAGGAUGUCAGCAAAAUUAUUUUUCAGGAAUGAAGGGGAAAUAAAGACCCUCUCAGAUGAAGAAACACUAAGAGAAUUUGUCACCAGUAGACCAUUCCUAAAGGAAGUCCCUGAAACAGAAAGGAAGUGAUUAAAGAAAGAAUCUUGGAACAUCAAAAAGAAAUAACAGGAAGAACAGAAAUAUGGAAGGGCUUACAGCCUACUAUCAAAACAUCUGGCAAUUACCUUGGACACUGAUGCCAAUCUGUCAAGCAAUGAAACUUCUAAUAUUCCAUUAGGAAAUAAAGAUCACUGUGACAUCGGACUGCUAGUAUGUUAGAAUCGUUUCUGACCCUGAAUUUUUGUAACGGUCAUGAAUCCAUGGUAGACAUGUUGCAUGACUGAAGCAGAGCUCUGAUUAGUCUUCUUAAGCAAUUUCCCUUUGUGUUGCUAACCCUUCUAGACUGCUGGGGCAAAAAUAUUUAUUGAUCUCUAUGUACCCAGCCACUGUGAUCAUUACUGGGGUAAAAUGAUGAAAAGAUAUACAUGGACUGUGGCUUCAUGUUUUUAAGGUUUAGAGUUUUUUAUUCAAAUGCCGAGACCUGAAACCUGAUGCUUAAGGUUAGCAUGUAAGGGGCUUUGAACCUGAAUUUAUUCGAAGACAACAAAGUUUAGCUGAAAGCUCAUUUAGUGCCUCCUCCACUGAAAGCCUUAAAACCAUUACCUUCUAAGAAAGAAAUGAGUUUAUUACGAAAACAUGGUGCUAAAGUUGACCUUAAAAGCAAUGUCAAUCUCUCAGAGCGACAGAGUAGAAAGAUGCCCACUUUGAUGAACACAGAAAUACCUAUUUUCCCUACCAACUCCUGGUGCUUAUCACCACUGAGUUAUUUACUUCAAGCCCAGCGUUUUUUACAGGGCCACUAGAGAAUGGAGUGUAACCCACUUACACCUCACCAUCCCAAAUGGGAGAUUAGUCUGCCUGUCAUUUGGCAAAGUGGAAUCCCAAUAAAAUUACCAAUAAGACAAGCUAUCAUUUUUAAUGCUGCUUGAGAAGGGCAGGUUUAAAUACAGUUUCAGAAGAUCUUGAGAGCAGAGGACAUUGGCAACAGGCACGGAUGACAAAUUGCAUCUUCUUCACAGGUGUGCUAGCACUCAAUGCUAAAGAUGGCACCCAGUUCAAGGUCAGCAAAUGGAAGGCAUCCUCGCCCACAACUCUUCAGUGGACAUGGCUUCUCUAUCAGAGAGCGCUUUUCAGCUAAGUCCAGAUGCAGGCCUGAAGUCUUCUCUGCCCAUCCCUCCAGAAGGCCACUGUGAUAACCUGAAUUGGGAAGGAAAGAGAAGCCCCGUUGCCUUCCAAGAUCACCUUCUUCUUUUUUUUUCCUCCAGGCAGAUUUUCAGGCUAAUUUUCCCAGGGGGAAAAAAAUUAGUAUCUCUCCUGUUUGAAAGCAUUCUGAGAUGAAAAUGAAAUAGAAAUUGAAGAUUGUUUCCAUUCUUAAGGGUUUUGGUCAAUCGUUUUUAGAAAUUUCUUCCUGGGAUUUAUAUUAUUUUCCUCCCACUUUACCUCUCCUGUGUCCAUUUUGGAGAAAAGCACCUCGUUUAUCUUUGGGAGACAGUAACGCAGAAACUGUAACUGAGCCGAUUUCCCCUUGAGGAUCAAAAUAUUUGUGUUAAAUGAAAUGAGAAAUCUGCUAAGUGGCGGCAUGCAUCCCCCAGGGAAGGAUAUUUUGUAAUUUUGAAAAAUUCCUACUGAAAUUCUUCUCUUGCCAAGAAAAGAGGAAUGAUUUCUGUUAAAAUUACUUCAUGUCUGAAUUACUCUCUGCCCCUCGGGAACAUAUAACAUUACAGCUUUUAUGCUCAGUAAUUUAGAAGGACGGGGGGACACCUUAUUUGGAAAGCAUGCAGACUUAACACGAAAUGUUGGGUAUUAAGUAGUUUCACCACAAAAGUCUCGUUUUGAAAAUUUUGCACUUAAACAGUUCAAAUUAAAGUUCGUUUUUAGAACUGGUUUUUAUGAUUGUCUGUAUAAGUCCUUUUAACUUUCUACUCUUAUCUCACCAUUCCCUGAAGCUGCAGAGAAAAUCCUUUGAUUGGUGUUCAAGAGUUGUACCUUUUAUAGAAAACAGGAUAGAUGGCAUCACUUUAAUAAGGCAGGUGCAUGCUUUGAAGCCAGUCAAAUAAGUUAAUUUUAUUAAAAUAUAUGUAUCUGCUUCUGUGUAUGUUAUAGUACAGGCUUUGGAAAGGCACGAGAGAUAGAAAAUAGGUUUAAACUCACAGGCCAACUCUGAUCAAGUAUUAUGGAUCCCACUGGCACUGUGUUGGGAAAGAUUCUGAGGCCAAAUUCAGGUUCAGGGGGAAAAAAAGUGAAAGAUGAGUAUUCUUCUUUGAUUACAGGUGGCCAAUUUUAAGCACAAGCACCAAACACAGAUGUCAUCACUGACACGUAUUAAAUAUCAAGAGAAGUGCCUUCUGGCUUGUGUAAUUGAAGUAGUUUUCUGUGUUUUCUAAUUUUCUGCAGUAAAUAUGUAUUGUUUCUGUGAUGAGAUUAAAGCUAUUUUUUAUUCUUUUUAAACUGGAAAAA